GAUGAACGCUGGCGGCGUGCCUAAUACAUGCAAGUCGAGCGAACAGACGAGGAGCUUGCUCCUCUGACGUUAGCGGCGGACGGGUGAGUAACACGUGGAUAACCUACCUAUAAGACUGGGAUAACUUCGGGAAACCGGAGCUAAUACCGGAUAAUAUAUUGAACCGCAUGGUUCAAUAGUGAAAGACGGUUUUGCUGUCACUUAUAGAUGGAUCCGCGCCGCAUUAGCUAGUUGGUAAGGUAACGGCUUACCAAGGCAACGAUGCGUAGCCGACCUGAGAGGGUGAUCGGCCACACUGGAACUGAGACACGGUCAGACUCCUACGGGAGGCAGCAGUAGGGAAUCUUCCGCAAUGGGCGAAAGCUUGACGGAGCAACGCCGCGUGAGUGAUGAAGGUCUUCGGAUCGUAAAACUCUGUUAUUAGGGAAGAACAAAUGUGUAAGUAACUAUGCACGUCUUGACGGUACCUAAUCAGAAAGCCACGGCUAACUACGUG
rnacentral:rRNA from 1 species